rnacentral:tRNA from 1 species
GCAUUGGUGGUUCAGUGGUAGAAUUCUAGCUUGCUAUGUUGGAGGCCUGGGUUCGAUUCCCAGCCAAUGCA